ensembl:lncRNA
GGUUCUUUGGCAGGGUGUACGGUUCCAUGAAGAACCUUUAAAAUCCAAAGAACCUUACCAUUGCACAUAAGGUUCUUUGUAGUACAGAAAGGUUCUUUAUAGCACAGAAAAGUUCUUUAUAGCACAGAAAGGUUCUUUAGACUAUUUAAUGGUUCUUCACACUCAUCAUGUUGUAAAUAAUUUUGUUUCUGGAAAGUGAUAUCUAGUUAGCUAAAUUGUCCUGUCUGGUCUAGAACUCAUUCCAGGCUCAUUUUCUAUUAGUUGCAUUCAAUUGUAGUGUAAUAAAAAGUAUUAAUUUUGAGAUGUAUAAAUAGUAUUGUUUUGUUUAUUAAUUAAAAUAGACCAGUAGAUCCUUUUAUAUCUAUUAUCUAUUUUAAUGCUGUUUUGCAUGACUCAAAAAAUUAUUAGGCUUGGUAUUUAAGUUAUAUACUGCAAUCAUGUUUUAAAAUGUUUAAUAAAGUUUAAUAAAGAUUUAAUGUGAUUUUAAGUUGUUUACGUAGUGUUCUAAUUCUAGAGGUUUAUUUAUGCAAAUGCUGCGUGACUUUGACAUGUUUUAAUGGGCGUGAGCGCUGAAUACUGGAGUCUCAUUUAAACGCUAGAGUGGAGGGAGUUGUCAUGGAAACGAGCCGACAACACCAACUGAUACACUGUAAAUCUCCAUCUCUAGCUGCUGUUUUCACUGCUUUCAUGAGUGAUAAUAUAAUUUCUCUACAUCAGAAGAGAAGCUCUAAAAUUUCUAAGUUUCUGAAAGGAGCUGCUGACAGAAAUGCAGGAAACACGGGAUCCUGUGUACCCAGCCUCAACCAUUCAUCAAAAGGACUGUGAAGGCAGGAAUUCUUUGAACCACCAGUGGCAGUUUCCACGGGAUGAAAACGGGCAUACUAGUGGAUGAUGGGGGUACUGAUAUUAACUUGUUGUAUUCACUGUAUUACACAUUUUUGUCAGUUUUUCAUUUCAAGUACUGGUGGUUUUGAUUUUGUCUGGAUGACAUGCUGUCCUAAUACUAACUAGUCAGAUCUCAGGUACCACCUAAAAUGCUGCCAAAACCAAACAGAAAAAUAGAAAUAUAUAAAGUCAGGUUAUCAUCAAGUACUCAGACUUGACAGUGAUGACUGAUCAUGAAACUAAUGAUUGCAGUGAUUUAAAAGAAUUAUCAAUCAUUGCAGUCAAGUCUGAGUACUCUAGUACUUGUGCACAUCCCUAUUAAAAACAAAUACACGGCAGUGAGGUAUGAUGUAAUGUAUACUGCAUUGAUGUAUACUGUAAAUGCAAUAAAUAUUUUAAUCAUACAUCUUGUCA